rnacentral:rRNA from 1 species
ACCUAUGGCCAUGCUACCCUGAACAAGCCCGAUCCUGUCUGAUCUCAGAAGCUAAGCAGGGUCUGGCCUGGUUAGUACUUGGAUGGGAGACCACCUAGGAAGACCAGGUGCUAUAGGCA